rnacentral:miRNA from 14 species
GAGAUUAUAUAUAUAUAUAUAUAUAUAUAUAUAUAUAUGCCUGUGUGUGUGUGUGUGUGUGUGUGUGUGUGUGUACACAUACACACACACACACGCACGAAUGUAUCCA